GACGAACGCUGGCGGCGUGCUUAACACAUGCAAGUCGAACGAUGAAGCCGGAGCUUGCUCUGGUGAAUUAGUGGCGAACGGGUGAGUAACACGUGAGUAACCUGCCCUUGACUCUGGGAUAACUGCGGGAAACUGUAGCUAAUACCGGAUACGACCCUCGGAGGCAUCUCCUGGGGGUGGAAAGAAUUUCGGUCAAGGAUGGACUCGCGGCCUAUCAGCUAGUUGGUGAGGUAAAGGCUCACCAAGGCGACGACGGGUAGCCGGCCUGAGAGGGGGACCGGCCACACUGGGACUGAGACACGGCCCAGACUCCUACGGGAGGCAGCAGUGGGGAAUAUUGCACAAUGGGCGCAAGCCUGAUGCAGCGACGCCGCGUGAGGGAUGACGGCCUUCGGGUUGUAAACCUCUUUUAGCAGGGAAGAAGCGAAUGUGACGGUACCUGCAGAAAAAGCACCGGCUAACUACGUGCCAGCAGCCGCCGUAA
rnacentral:rRNA from 1 species